CUCAGCCAAGCAGGUUUCAGCUCACGGUCAAAUCACCAGAUACACAACUGGAAAUGAUUUAUGUCAAAAGGACAUUGUCAGGAUGGUGUCACUGAGACUCUGCUGACGUGAUGGAACCACCUGAAGAAAACUAAAGAAGGGAUCUAUUUCCGUGUGCUCCUGAUUGUUGAAGUGAGCGUGAACACCAUGUUGAGACUGAAAUAGCCGUCUGAGGCCCCCAGAAAGACGACUGCAGCUGAUGAGGCCGGUGAGUCU